GGGUUGUGAGGUUAAGCGACUAAGCGUACACGGUGGAUGCCCUGGCAGUCAGAGGCGAUGAAGGACGUGCUAAUCUGCGAUAAGCGUCGGUGAGGUGAUAUGAACCGUUAUAACCGGCGAUUUCCGAAUGGGGAAACCCAGUGUGUUUCGACACACUAUCAUUAACUGAAUCCAUAGGUUAAUGAGGCGAACCGGGGGAACUGAAACAUCUAAGUACCCCGAGGAAAAGAAAUCAACCGAGAUUCCCCCAGUAGCGGCGAGCGAACGGGGAGGAGCCCAGAGCCUGAAUCAGUGUGUGUGUUAGUGGAAGCGUCUGGAAAGGCGCGCGAUACAGGGUGACAGCCCCGUACACAAAAAUGCACAUAUUGUGAGCUCGAUGAGUAGGGCGGGACACGUGGUAUCCUGUCUGAAUAUGGGGGGACCAUCCUCCAAGGCUAAAUACUCCUGACUGACCGAUAGUGAACCAGUACCGUGAGGGAAAGGCGAAAAGAACCCCGGCGAGGGGAGUGAAAAAGAACCUGAAACCGUGUACGUACAAGCAGUGGGAGCCUCUUAAUGGGGUGACUGCGUACCUUUUGUAUAAUGGGUCAGCGACUUAUAUUCUGUAGCAAGGUUAACCGAAUAGGGGAGCCGAAGGGAAACCGAGUCUUAACUGGGCGUUAAGUUGCAGGGUAUAGACCCGAAACCCGGUGAUCUAGCCAUGGGCAGGUUGAAGGUUGGGUAACACUAACUGGAGGACCGAACCGACUAAUGUUGAAAAAUUAGCGGAUGACUUGUGGCUGGGGGUGAAAGGCCAAUCAAACCGGGAGAUAGCUGGUUCUCCCCGAAAGCUAUUUAGGUAGCGCCUCGUGAAUUCAUCUCCGGGGGUAGAGCACUGUUUCGGCAAGGGGGUCAUCCCGACUUACCAACCCGAUGCAAACUGCGAAUACCGGAGAAUGUUAUCACGGGAGACACACGGCGGGUGCUAACGUCCGUCGUGAAGAGGGAAACAACCCAGACCGCCAGCUAAGGUCCCAAAGUCAUGGUUAAGUGGGAAACGAUGUGGGAAGGCCCAGACAGCCAGGAUGUUGGCUUAGAAGCAGCCAUCAUUUAAAGAAAGCGUAAUAGCUCACUGGUCGAGUCGGCCUGCGCGGAAGAUGUAACGGGGCUAAACCAUGCACCGAAGCUGCGGCAGCGACACUAUGUGUUGUUGGGUAGGGGAGCGUUCUGUAAGCCUGUGAAGGUGGCCUGUGAGGGUUGCUGGAGGUAUCAGAAGUGCGAAUGCUGACAUAAGUAACGAUAAAGCGGGUGAAAAGCCCGCUCGCCGGAAGACCAAGGGUUCCUGUCCAACGUUAAUCGGGGCAGGGUGAGUCGACCCCUAAGGCGAGGCCGAAAGGCGUAGUCGAUGGGAAACAGGUUAAUAUUCCUGUACUUGGUGUUACUGCGAAGGGGGGACGGAGAAGGCUAUGUUGGCCGGGCGACGGUUGUCCCGGUUUAAGCGUGUAGGCUGGUUUUCCAGGCAAAUCCGGAAAAUCAAGGCUGAGGCGUGAUGACGAGGCACUACGGUGCUGAAGCGACAAAUGCCCUGCUUCCAGGAAAAGCCUCUAAGCAUCAGGUAACAUCAAAUCGUACCCCAAACCGACACAGGUGGUCAGGUAGAGAAUACCAAGGCGCUUGAGAGAACUCGGGUGAAGGAACUAGGCAAAAUGGUGCCGUAACUUCGGGAGAAGGCACGCUGAUAUGUAGGUGAAGCGACUUGCUCGUGGAGCUGAAAUCAGUCGAAGAUACCAGCUGGCUGCAACUGUUUAUUAAAAACACAGCACUGUGCAAACACGAAAGUGGACGUAUACGGUGUGACGCCUGCCCGGUGCCGGAAGGUUAAUUGAUGGGGUUAGCGGUAACGCGAAGCUCUUGAUCGAAGCCCCGGUAAACGGCGGCCGUAACUAUAACGGUCCUAAGGUAGCGAAAUUCCUUGUCGGGUAAGUUCCGACCUGCACGAAUGGCGUAAUGAUGGCCAGGCUGUCUCCACCCGAGACUCAGUGAAAUUGAACUCGCUGUGAAGAUGCAGUGUACCCGCGGCAAGACGGAAAGACCCCGUGAACCUUUACUAUAGCUUGACACUGAACAUUGAGCCUUGAUGUGUAGGAUAGGUGGGAGGCUUUGAAGUGUGGACGCCAGUCUGCAUGGAGCCGACCUUGAAAUACCACCCUUUAAUGUUUGAUGUUCUAACGUGGGCCCCUUACCGGGGUUGCGGACAGUGUCUGGUGGGUAGUUUGACUGGGGCGGUCUCCUCCUAAAGAGUAACGGAGGAGCACGAAGGUUGGCUAAUCCUGGUCGGACAUCAGGAGGUUAGUGCAAUGGCAUAAGCCAGCUUGACUGCGAGCGUGACGGCGCGAGCAGGUGCGAAAGCAGGUCAUAGUGAUCCGGUGGUUCUGAAUGGAAGGGCCAUCGCUCAACGGAUAAAAGGUACUCCGGGGAUAACAGGCUGAUACCGCCCAAGAGUUCAUAUCGACGGCGGUGUUUGGCACCUCGAUGUCGGCUCAUC
rnacentral:rRNA from 1 species